UACGUAGGAGGCGAGCGUUGUCCGGAUUUACUGGGCGUAAAGCGCGCGCAGGCGGCAUGGCAAGUAGGGUGUGAAAUCUCCCUGCCUAACGGGGAGGGUGCACUUUAGACUGCCAAGCUAGAGGACUGUAGAGGGGGGUAGAAUUGCUGGUGUAGCGGUGAAAUGCGUAGAGAUCAGCAGGAAUACCCGGGGCGAAGGCGGCCGCCUGGGCCGAUCCUGACGCUGAGGCGCGAAGGCUAGGGGAGCGAACGGG
rnacentral:rRNA from 1 species